rnacentral:rRNA from 1 species
UGUGUCCUACGGGGCGCAGCAGUCGGGAAUAUUGCGCAAUGGAGGAAACUCUGACGCAGUGACGCCGCGUGCAGGAAGAAGGUUUUCGGAUUGUAAACUGCUUUAGACAGGGAAGAAACAAGACAGUACCUGUAGAAUAAGCUCCGGCUAACUACGUGCCAGCAGCCGCGGUAAUACGUAGGGAGCAAGCGUUAUCCGGAUUUAUUGGGUUUAAAGGGUGCGCAGGCGGAAGAUCAAGUCAGCGGUAAAAUUGAGAGGCUCAACCUCUUCGAGCCGUUGAAACUGGUUUUCUUGAGUGAGUGAGA